rnacentral:rRNA from 1 species
AACGAACGCUGGCGGCAUGCCUAACACAUGCGAGUCGAACGAGACCUUCGGGUCUAGUGGCGCACGGGUGCGUAACGCGUGGGAACCUGCCCUUAGGUUCGGAAUAACUCCCCGAAAGGGGUGCUAAUACCGGAUAAUGUCUUCGGACCAAAGAUUUAUCGCCUUUGGAUGGGCCCGCGUUGGAUUAGCUAGUUGGUAGGGUAAAAGCCUACCAAGGCGACGAUCCAUAGCUGGUCUGAGAGGAUGAUCAGCCACACUGGUACUGAGACACGGCCCAGACUCCUACGGGAGGCAGCAGUGGGGAAUAUUGGACAAUGGGCGAAAGCCUGAUCCAGCAAUGCCGCGUGAGUGAUGAAGGCCUUAGGGUUGUAAAGCUCUUUUACCCGGGAUGAUAAUGACAGUACCGGGAGAAUAAGCUCCGGCUAACUCCGUG